rnacentral:rRNA from 1 species
CCUACGGGAGGCUGCAGUGGGGAAUCUUGGACAAUGGGCGCAAGCCUGAUCCAGCCAUGCCGCAUGAGUGAAGAAGGCCUUCGGGUUGUAAAGCUCUUUUACCAGGGACGAUAAUGACGGUACCUGGAGAAUAAGCCCCGGCAAACUUCGUGCCAGCAGCCGCGGUAAUACGAAGGGGGCUAGCGUUGUUCGGAAUUACUGGGCGUAAAGCGCACGUAGGCGGACUGUUAAGUCGGGGGUGAAAUCCCGGGGCUCAACCCCGGAACUGCCUUCGAUACUGGCGGUCUCGAGUCCGGAAGAGGUUAGUGGAAUUCCCAGUGUAGAGGUGAAAUUCGUAGAUAUUGGGAAGAACACCAGUGGCGAAGGCGGCUAACUGGUCCGGUACUGACGCUGAGGUGCGAAAGCGUGGGGAGCAAACAGGAUUAGAUACCCCAGUAGUC